AACCAGGAUCCUCCGGGGGCGGGGCCAGCGCGGGGCGGGGCCAGCGCGGGGGCGGGGCCGUACGGCAGGGAACCAGGAUCCUGCGGGGCGGGGCCAGCGCGGGGGCGGGGCCAGCGCGGGGGCGGGGCCGUACGGUAGGGAACCAGGAUCCUGCGGGGCGGGGCCAGCGCGGGGGCGGGGCCAGCGCGGGGGCGGGGCCAGCGCGGGGGCGGGGCCGGAGGCGCGGCGCCGGGGACGCGCAGGCCCCGCCCCCUCCGCGCCGGCCCGCCCGCCCGCCCGCCGGGAGCGCCCCGGCCGAGGCAGCCCGGUUCUCCGCGCGCUGCCCGCAGGUUCCAUUGAGAAAAGCCGAGCGGGUGCGGCGGCGGCGUCUGCGCGGGAGCCGAGGAGCCGGCAGCAGCCCGCCGCCCCCGGCGGUCGGCGCGCCCGCAGCGCAGGGCCUGGCCUCCGGCCUCCGCAGCGGCUCCGGGCCGGGCGCGGCGGGCUGGGGCGCGGGCCGGGGCGCCGCGGAGCCCGGGGGCCGGGGGCAUGAGCCGCCCCGCGGCCCCGCCGCGCCCCCGCCGCCCGCCGCCGCCCGCCAGGGGCUAGAGGCGGCCGCCGGGAGGGCGCGCGGCGCCGGAGACAUGUCCAGGAGGAAACAGAGCAACCCCCGGCAGAUCAAGCGUUCCCUUGGAGACGUGGAGGCUUCAGAAGAGGCCCAGGCCAUGGACACCAGCCUCCCAGAGCAAGAGGCAGGAGCACCAGAGCCCGAGGCCGUGAGAGAGCCCGAGCCCCUGAGCCCUUCCAGUCCAGGUGAGUCGGUGGUGGGUACACAACAGGCCAAGCCUGAUAGCCUGCGCUGCCCCACGCCUUCCCAUGUCCUCACCUGUGCCUUCACGGGAGCUGGGUCCUUCUGGGGACGCUGUUUCCUCCUCUGUGCGUGUGUGUGAAGCCUGCUGAUGUCUGGCGCUGGCUGCUGGGCAGCGGGUGGCCAGGGGCCUGACCCUUGGGGGCCUGGGGGGCCAGGGGCAAGAGAUGUGUACACCCACACCACAAGGGGCUCUGGUACAGAUGGGGAGACACAGGCCCUGAUGGAGAAGGUCUAGCCAUGGCCACAGAGUGACCUCAAGAAAGCCACACCCUCUGCUAGCCUCCAUUUACCCAUUGUGGGAGCGGGCAGUGGGCUUCAGCACACAUGGUCUCAGAGCAUAGCAGGCUCUCCUGCUGUUUUACAGACGAGGGAAUGAGACCCAGAGAGGUUAAGUGACUUGCCCAUGGUCACACAGCCUGGAAAGCAACAGUGCAGCGAUCCGGCCCCAGGUCUGGGUUUAGGUUGAUUUCCCUCCAUAUCAUGUCUGCUUCCCCCGCCCCCACCCUUGGCACCAAAACCUUUCCUUGGGCCUCCUUGGUGGCAGUUUCAGGGGUGGGGGGUGGUACUGGGGAGACACUGGGGGUGAAUCAAUCUGACACCAGGAAGCCUGCUCUGGACAGGUCCCCAGCGGACCUCAAAGGGAGGGCAGCUUCUGUAGCCAGCCGUAUCCCAGACGCCCCUGGGAGGAGAGAGCUCCCAAGGUGGAGGUAGUGUGGGGGUGGUCAGCACCCUCACCCCUGUUUUCCUGAGGAGGAAGUUUGGCAUGGGGGAUCCAGUCUGCCUGCUGAGCCCGACCUCUCUCCCUGCCUGCCUGCUGUUGGCCACGGCCGGGGCAUCUUACCCCCCACUCAGUGCUGGGAUGCUCUUUGCUCACGGAGGCUGAGUUGACCCCCAGGCCGUAGUGUGGCCGGGAGAUGUAGCCCUGAAGUGGGCUGUCUCGGAAGGCCAUGGUGGGUGGCACGACCAGGAGUGCGGGAGAGAGGGAGUAGAGGGUGGUGACACUGAGCAGAGACUGGAAAGAUGCCCAGAGAAGGUGUACCAGGUGGCAGCCGACCCCUGCCAGUCCCCUCGGGACCUUU
rnacentral:lncRNA from 1 species